UACGUAGGGGCCGAGCGUUGUCCGGAGUUAUUGGGCGUAAAGGGCGCGUAGGCGGCUUGAUGUGUCAAAGGUGAAAUCCCUCGGCUCAACUGAGGAACUGCCUUUGAAACUGUCUGGCUUGAGGCCGGGAGAGGGUAGCGGAAUUCCCAGUGUAGCGGUGAAAUGCGUAGAUACUGGGAGGAACACCGGUGGCGAAGGCGGCUACCUGGACCGGUUCUGACGCUGAUGCGCGAAAGCGUGGGUAGCAAACAGG
rnacentral:rRNA from 1 species